rnacentral:rRNA from 1 species
GCGGAGGAAAAGAAACCAACAGGGAUUGCCCUAGUAACGGAGAGUGAAACGGCAACCAGCUCAAAUUUUGAAAUCUGGCUUCGGGCCCGAGUUGUAAUUUGCAGAGGAAGCUUUAGGCUCGGCACCUUUUUGAGUCCCCUGGAACGGGGCGCCAUAGAGGGUGAGAGCCCCGUAUAGUUGGAUGCCUAGCCUGUGUAAAGCUCCUUCGACGAGUCGAGUAGUUUGGGAAUGCUGCUCAAAAUGGGAGGUAAAUUUCUUCUAAAGCUAAAUACCGGCCAGAGACCGAUAGCGCACAAGUAGAGUGAUCGAAAGAUGAAAAGCACUUUGAAAAGAGGGUUAAAUAGCACGUGAAAUUGUUGAAAGGGAAGCGCUUGUGACCAGACUUGCGCCGGGCGGAUCAUCCGGUGUUCUCACCGGUGCACUCCGCCCGGCUCAGGCCAGCAUCGGUUCUCGCGGGGGGAUAAAGGCAUCGGGAACGUGGCUCCUCCGGGAGUGUUAUAGCCCGUUGCGUAAUGCCCUCGCGGGGACCGAGGUUCGCGCAUCUGCAAGGAUGCUGGCGUAAUGGUCAUCAGCGACCCGUCUUGAAACACGGACCAAGGAGUCAAGGUUUUGCGCGAGUGUUUGGGUGUAAAACCCGCACGCGUAAUGAAAGUGAACGUAGGUGAGAGCUUCGGCGCAUCAUCGACCGAUCCUGAUGUUUUCGGAUGGAUUUGAGUAGGAGCGUUAAGCCUUGGACCCGAAAGAUGGUGAACUAUGCUUGGAUAGGGUGAAGCCAGAGGAAACUCUGGUGGAGGCUCGCAGCGGUUCUGACGUGCAAAUCGAUCGUCAAAUCUGAGCAUGGGGGCGAAAGA